rnacentral:lncRNA from 1 species
UUUAGGAUUCCCACAUUACAAUUUAUAUUUGGAUUAGGAAAUGUCAGAGAAAUAGUUGGAAUAAGGCUAGAUACAUUUGCAGGGGCCCUUACCAUGAUGGAUCUUCCCAUGAAGUUUGACUUUGUUGUGAAGGAUUUGUGUGGAGACUGAAAGAUUGCAAGCAGGUUAAAGAUGUGACAUUUCCUAACAGCACCAAGGAAGGAGCACCAGAGAACAUGAAAAGGCACUCAAGCUAAGUGGUCUGUUGAACUUUGCAUAUCUUCCUCUUUGUCAAUGAAAGAAGGCAAAACCAAACCUAAAUG